UGCCAUCUGCCGGGAAUGGAGCAGGGAUUCUGAGCUCUGAUUACGCAGACACUGGGCUGAGUGGCUAGGAUUUUGAAAGAGGGGAAGGGAAGCCCCUUCAGAUGGGACCUGCGGCGUGCUCACCCCAGCUAUGAGCACAGGGAAGCCUUUGAGAAGACACAGAACGUGGCCGCCCUUGGCCUUGAUUCUCAGCCUGGCUUGGCAGCUGCAUCUUGGGAGAUUUUUAUUUUGCAUUAGGAUAAUCUCUCUCUCUCUCUCUCUCUCUCUCUCUCUCUCUCUCUCUUGUUUCCAUAGGGCUGGGGAAUCAAACCCAGGGCCCUGAGUGUGCUAGGCAACCAUCUCAGCCCUUUGUAGGUUAGAUUUUUUUUUAAGCUGCUUUGGCUAGUAGGGUGUCUUCUGAACUUCCCUUCGUCCUGGCACAUGGGAAGUUCAUGCCUCCAGCCCCAUCUCCAGGUUCGCCGCUCAGAGCCUCUUGGAACACCGGAUAUCUUCCAUCACCUCAUAGUCUCACCCUGAAAAGCAAACACCUGCCAUUCUCAGCAACCCUACCUGAUUUUCACAGAUACUGUGAUGGGUUCCUUGUCAACCUGACUGGAUGUGGAGUCAACCGGGAGACACAUCUGUGGCUAUGUCCUCGAAAGAUUAAUUUUUAUUUUGUGUACAAGAACGGUUGCCUACAUGUAUGGAUAUGUACUGCACACGUGCCUGGUGCCGUCGGAGGUCAGAAGAGGACAUCAGAUCCCCCAGAACUAGAUAGAGGACAAAGCAGAAGAAAGAACUCAUGGACUCUGAUUUUAAAAUGUGAAGCAAAUCUUCAGAAAGAACGGCUGAUUAUAACUGGGCACGAUGUCCCUGUGGACCCAGCAGGAAUUCAAGGCCAGCAUAUGCAGCACAGGGAGAGCCCUAUCUCAGAAAAAUAAUAAAAUAUAAACAGGCUCGGGGCAGAGCUCGGUAACAGAGCACUUGUGCAGCUUGUAGAAGCCCAGCAUUUAUUCCAGCAAUGGGGAAAUGUUUUUACAAAUGACUGUGGAUUUUGCAUAAGGGUAACCGUGUAGACCAACAGAAUAGAAUGGCGAGUCCAGACAUAAACCUUUAAACACACAGGCAGCUGAUUUGGGGUAAAAACACCAAGCUGCUUCUGUGAGGGAAAGUUAUCUUCUCAUCUCAGAAGGUGCUGGGACAACUGAAU